GAAAAUCCGUCCCUUUAGAAAUNGUGAGGGUUCAAGUCCNCUAUCCCCCA
rnacentral:tRNA from 1 species